rnacentral:rRNA from 1 species
AGCAGCCGCGGUAAUUCCAGCUCCAAUAGCGUAUAUUAAAGUUGCUGCAGUUAAAAAGCUCGUAGUUGAAUUUCGGGACCAUCAUGUCGGUCGUGCCUCGGUACGUACUGGCAUUGUUGGUUUCUCCCUUCUGACGAACCAUGAUGUCAUUUAUUUGGUGUCGUGGGAAAUCAGGACUGUUACUUUGAAAAAAUUAGAGUGUUUAAAGCAGGCUCACGCUUGAAUACAUUAGCAUGGAAUAAUGAAAUAGGACGUUUGAUUCUAUUUUGUUGGUUUCUAGGAUCGACGUAAUGAUUAAUAGGGAUAGUUGGGGGCAUUAGUAUUCAAUUGUCAGAGGUGAAAUUCUUGGAUUUAUUGAAGACUAACUACUGCGAAAGCAUUUGCCAAGGAUGUUUUCAUUAAUCAAGAACGAAAGUUAGGGGAUCGAAGACGAUCAGAUACCGUCGUAGUCUUAACCAUAAACUAUGCCGACUAGGGAUCGGAUGAUGUUAAUUUUUUUCAAUGACUCAUUCGGCGCCUU